rnacentral:rRNA from 1 species
UACGAAGGACCCGAGCGUUAUCCGGAUUUAUUGGGUUUAAAGGGUGCGUAGGCGGAUUAUUAAGUCAGUGGUGAAAGCCUUCAGCUUAACUGAAGAACUGCCAUUGAUACUGAUGAUCUUGAGUAUGAUUGAGGUGGGCGGAAUGUGUCGUGUAGCGGUGAAAUGCUUAGAUAUGACACAGAACACCGAUUGCGAAGGCAGCUCACUAAGCCAUAACUGACGCUGAUGCACGAAAGCGUGGGGAGCAAACAGG